rfam:Triticum aestivum genome assembly, contig: Triticum_aestivum_CS42_TGACv1_scaffold_502742_6BL
CUUGUACUCCCUCCGUCUGAAAAUACUUGUCAUUGAAAUGGAUGUAUCUAGAUGUAUUUUAGUUCUAGACAUAUCCAUUUUGAUGACAAGUAAUUCCGGACGGAGGGAGUACUUG